rnacentral:lncRNA from 1 species
CACAAAAUGUGGUAGAAAAGGGAGUCCUGGAGUGCAAGGUGUAGACUUCUGGGAGCUGUCGUUGCUGAACCAGGAGUGAUAGACCAGCUCACCAAUCAGGAAGAGGGGCUGAGAUGUCAAGAGAACACCCAUUCCCAGAGUGCUCUAGAAAUGGAGCCUACCAGAGAAGCAGAGAAAGAGCUGAUCGGGAGAAUACAGCGUGAGGUUCAGAGAAAAUCUGAGGAGCCCACCAACCAGGGAAAUACUCUGUCAAUAUUUCACCACAACACUGGAACAGAAAUGAAAAGAAGACGGUCACUAAUCAUAAUGACAGUAGCAAUGGCAGCUGUCACAACAGCCACACAGGGACUCUGUUCCGUGGACCUGAAAAGCACAGCUGCUGUCUGAAGACCAGGCCAAGUCUGGGCUCGCUGCUGUAUGGCAGCCUCUCCUUGGUUCUCUGCCUUCUCCAUUGGCAUCGGCUUUUGGAGGCUGCCACCAGCUCUGGACUUGCACUUAUCCCACAUCAUUUGGAGGCCAGAAUGAAGUGGCUUUGCAUCGCCCUGCUCAGGAGUUCGUCCUGCUCAGGAGUUCGCUCCAUCAGUGUAGCACACACCUGCAUUGCAGACCUGAAGCUAGAGACACACAGGCACCCUAACUCAGCUUUACCAAUUGGGAAUGGAGAAGGGAAACAUUGUCCUGAAAGAAUUCUCAAAUAAAGCACAUGAGGAAGGAAUUGAUUUGGAAGAACAGUCUUUUAUAGAAGAAAGAGCACGGGGGUAGAAGCAUGAGACGCCUGGCCACACAGCAUCCACAGUCAGCAAGCAAAGAGCUGUGGGCUGGGGCUCAGCUUGCCUCCUCCGUUUUAUUCGGGGUGGGACUCCAGCAUGUCGCUGCCCUCAUGCAGGGUGCAUAGUCCCUGCUCAGCUAAACCUUGCUGGAAACACCCUCCCCUUGAUACCCACAGGUGUGUUUCCAUGGUGAUUCCAAAUGCUGUCAAGUUAACAAUGAAGAUUAACAAUCACAGACAAUCCGAUAUUGAACACGCCAAGUGCUGAAGGUCAUGUCAACCUGGAAUCAAAGGAAAGGGUCUGGACAGCUCACAUCCUUGGCCUGAUGACUGCUGUGGCUGGGCCCUUUAAAGAAUUUGACUCUGGAUCCCCCAAAUGUAUCUGUUGUGUACAACUCUGUACUGUUCCCCUUCCCUCUGCAGCUCCAAGCUCCCUAGGCCUCCUGCCUUCCCGUCCCUCCCGUCCUGUGCCCCCCUUUCUUUUUUUU